rnacentral:lncRNA from 1 species
UUAAAAAUUACAAUUGUCCCCUUAUUUACCCACACCUAAGCAGAACAGAAGGUAACUUAAUCAAAAUCUCUAUAUCAGCGGGGGUACAAGCAAGAUUUAAUUAAUUAAAUGUCAAACUUGUGGUCGCCAGUUGGCCCUUGAGAAACUGCACAAUGGUUAAUAUAGUUUGCUAUUAGCUCUCUAUUUUUCUAUACCUCUAUUCAUCAUGCCUAAGUGUUAUUUGGGUUCAUGGUCCAUGAGCAGGAGAUGUUUACAGCACUUUGAGAAAAACUGAGUAACUUGCCUCCUUAGUGUAUUUAUCUGUCUUAACUUUCUAUUUCCCAUUUUCCACUAUUUCUUACGUCUAAAGUCUGUCCUUUCAACCUCUUCAUAAGACCCCUUUAGUAAUAAGAAUGUCAGCAAUAAGGAGGAGUCAUAGUAGUGGGAAAACAGAGGGAGUUUCAGGAGAGGUUUCUUUAGAAGUGGAUGUGGCAAUAGAACUAAGAGAAACUGGGAUUUGGGACUUGUGAGCCAGAUCAGAUUUCAAUACAUCAUUGCCAAUUUGCCUCGUGGAGAAUAUGUUGUUAGUCACAAACACAGUGAUUCCUGUGACCAGAGUAACAAUUGUAAACAUUAGGGCAAGAAAAAAUAAAACACGAGGGUACGAUGUGUUCCUCCCUACUUUUCCCCCAGCUGGAACUUUGUCAAGCAGCAUUGGAGGUCAGUCGGGCUUCGCCAUUAUAUAUGUUCCAUUAAUUGAUGCCCAUAUAUGUUGUUCUAUGAGGAUUAUCCAUUCAUCAUUAUAUUUUUUAGCUGGAACUUUGUCAGCAGCCUUGGAGGUCGCUUGGGCUUCGCCAGAUACCUUGCUGCUUUUGAGCGGCUAAGGAAUCACAUAGUUAUUUCCAUCAGAACUCCAAGAUAAUGAAAAAACCUUGGGGCUGCCUUCCCGGAACAUGAGACCGUGGGUCACGCUGGUGGAGCCACCAACAUCUCACAGAAUGAGUGAUAGCACCCUGGCUGAAAGCGAUGAGCCAGCUGCACCUCAGGGACCCACCUCACCAGCGACAAUGAACAGAUCCAUGGCAGGGUCCAGGACUGAGAUGAUGCCCCCAGAGGAAUGAUAAUUAUAGAUUUAUGGUAAAAAAUUUAUAAAGGUGGGGGACAACUUCAAAAUGCUCCUUUAAUAUUUACAGGUAUAAAAGCGCUUUCAUUCCUUCUGAUUGUAAUUUCAAGAGAUCUCUGUUAAUUGACUAUUCCAAAGUUUUUGACCAGUCAUACAAUUAUAUAUCUAAUAAUCAUAAAAAGGAUAUUACAAUUCAAUUUGGCCAAAUAUAUGAGUGCACUCUAAUUUUAUAAAUUGUCUUAUAUAUUUGUCUGU